GAAUCGCGGCAGCCACAGUAACUCGCCUGGGGAUACCAACGAGAGAGCGCAGAGGGCACCGUCUGGCAACAAUAAGACUUCGGUCAAGGCAUGCGUCGAGGAGGACCAUGUAUACCAUCCGGGCAGUGGUGACCCGGGAUUUGCCGCGACGACCCUAUUCAGAUCCCAUCAUUCCCGACCCCACAAGCAGCCUAAGAUCCCUUUCUUUGGCAGAUGCUGACCCUAGGGGCAACGAACCAAUCGAUGUAGAGGUAGGGGCCGAUGCCUACGCCCACCUCCGGAGGAGUGGUGUUGUACAACCCGGAUUGGGAGCCGUCUUCGCCCAGGAGACAGAUUGGGGAUACGUGUUCGUCGGCCCAGUCACCUCACAGGCAAGAAACCAAAAUUAAAAAGACGUGAAGAAGACACUAAGAUACAACAUAAACCCACAAGAAGACCCAAAAUCAACACAACACAUGGUUAAACCAUCAAAGUGCGGGACACCAAAAAUAAACACAAGUGCGGGCCACUCUACACACCAUCAACAAAUUCCUAUAUCCUUAGACCCAAAAUCAAAAUGUGAAAUAACCUACUUACCCUCUAAAAUUAAAUUUUCCUACUUAAAGCUAAAGUUAAAAUUUCCUAUCCAAAACUAAAAGUAAAAUUCGCUACUUAAACUAAGAAUAAAUUGUGCUACUUCAUCCUAAAAGAAAUUAACUACUUAAUGCUACAUGUACAAUUGUCUAUCUAAAUUUACCUACAACAAAAGACUGAAUUCGAUUUACUACUUAUAAAUAAUGAAAUGAGCAACAAACACAAUAAACCAUUACAACAGCAUUGAAUUUUAAACCUAA